rnacentral:rRNA from 1 species
CUCUAAUAGCGUAUUUUAAAGUUGUUGCAGUUAAAACGCUCGUAGUUGGACCUCGGAGUCCGGGUGUGAUUCGGUCCGCGUCAAAGUGAGUACUGACACAUCGGCUCUACCAAUGAGUGAUCCCCUGGUGCGCUUCACUGGGUGCCAGGAGCUGGGGCGUCGCGUGGCGGGCAACCGUUGUGCGGCGUCUCGGGGUUCUC